CUAAAUGUGAUGUUUGGCUUUUAUCAUCUAAACAUCGCCGUGGUUAACUUCUCUCUAAAAAUUUCCUAAAUCAGAAUUGAUCUCCAGUGGCCGGAGGCCUUGUGCCGCCGGUUACCAACCUCUUUUGUUUUUUGUUUUCUCUUGUAUAAUAGCUCUUCGCUAGGCGAUUUCGUUUCCGUUAGCGGAUCUCUCUUUUCGCGAUGACGAGUUUUUUGUUUUGUAUCUAUCUCAACUGAAUCGGAGCAGUUUCUCAUCAAUAUUCCUUUUAUCUCCGAUUAUAGUUGAUUAAAAAUCUCAUGUCUCUUUCUUUUGUUUCUAAUGUGAAAUCCCGUUUGAUAUCAAGAGAUGAUUGGUAUUCUCUAGUCAUCCUCAAGACUACUUGUGGAAAGAAUCAAUCUUUGCCCCUUAAAAGUGAAUAGCCAUUUGGCUUAUGGGCAGAGCAUCUAACCAAAGUAGGUUCUUGAGUCGUUUGAUUAAGCUCGGGAAUUAAUUGGAAGAUUCAGUAGAGUUGAAGCUUCUCAUAAGGAGAAGCGUUUCAACAAAGUGUCUUUUCAACUUUUCUGAAGCUUUGUCAUUGUGAUUCAUAUCUGGAGAAUGGCAAGAAUUUUUUGGUAGCUACGGUUGUUAUAGGAGGAGGAGUAACUGCAGAUGGUAUCAAAGACUGAAGAUGCUAUCUCCAUUGGCGAGGAUUAAAGCUUCGUCAUGGUGAUAAGACGCAAAGAUACAGACGAGAUUGCGGAGGAGUCUACGGUGGAGAAGCUUUGGCGGUGAUCGGAGAAGAGUACCCCGGCAUGAAGGACACGUAUGCAACACGUGUUGUGUUAUCAUCCCCGAAGCUUGAUACGUGGUCAAUCUGACUUUUCAUCCACCGUUUUAAUGACUUUUCUGUAUAACAAUAUAAUGUGAUAUCCUUGUUGGGCUGUAUUGUAUUUGAUACCACUGUAAUUGCCCAUUGGGCUCAUUUCAAGGAAAUGAAAAAGUUGACAAAAAAAAAAACAUUGCCGUGGUUUAAAAGUCGGAGCCAGAUUCCACCGUGUCCAGUGAAAAGGAAGAACAAAAUUGAUAGAGAUGGAUGCUUCCGAUAAUAUUCUAGCUCGCCAGCUCCCAUCUCCACUCUCGUGAUACGGUCAGUUGCCACCAUCCCUGACUGAACAGACCUUUUGGCGACAGGAUUGGAUUCGAGGAUCAACCUCUCUCUAUGCUGAAUAAACUCUUUCUUCGCCAUAACCUAAUUAGAAUUGAUGAUUGGAGGCACACCAAUGGGGUAUCUAUAUAGAAUCACUGAUGGAUGUAUGGCAAAUAGGGCUGCAAAGCUCGAAUCAAUGGAGCUUUGCAGAAGCGUCAAGGAUAGGAUCGGUCUUAGAAUGAUUAACAAGGCAGAAGAUAGAGGACCCACAAGUUAUUGUCAUAAUAAUCGAUCUUAAGGCACAAUAAGAGGAUUCACGGGGCAUUGGCUCUUUGAUUUCAUUGAAGAAAGACAGAGGAAGUGCAGGCUGAGAAGAACCAUAGGAUAUCCUUGGUGUAUUGCAACCGUCAUAGUUUCAGUAACUCAAGGAUUCCUAGAUUUGAAAGAGAAGCAAAAAUUCUCAGCAAUUGCAGCAUCAUCACACAAGGAAAAUGAAGAUGAUGGUGCUUCUUGGUAGAAGACACCAACGUUGGAGACAGAAGAUACACGAAGUCAGAUCCAAUGGGAACAGAGGAUUUUUGAUUUGGUAUGUUGAAUCAUUAACUAGAUCUUACCAUUCUAGGAUCCUGGAAAAGUGAACUCGCUGGUAUAAUCAGAAGAAGAAUGGUAAGAUAUAAAGACUGAAAAAAAAAGAACUCUCAAAUCAGCGAGUUUGUUCUUAACGUGCCGGUCGUAAGAAUCGUUUUAGGAUGGUCUUUGGUGAGAGUCUCUUCAUCAGUAUAUGUUUAUCGAUUGGAGAUAUACAAGAGUCAUGGUUAUUUGGCUAAGGGUCUCUAAAAGUCAUCAUGUUUCAUCACUCUUUAAAGUUCAAAUUUUGAAGAAAACUGGUUUGUUUCUGCUGCAAUAUCGAUGUGGUGUUUUGCAUUGGUGUACCUGAUUGCUCACGGUCUACGUUUUCUAAGUAAUUGAAGUCUUAAUUUAAAAGUUUAUAACA